UUUGCCCCUCUCUUUGCUUCCCAUCAAUGUCGCUCGUUCCUUAUUCCUCUCCCUCCACGGUAGCUCGCUCUCUGAUCCUCUACCUGUGCCGUGGUCGUUUUCUGAUCCUCUCCAUCCGCGGAAUUGCUCGUUCUCUCCUGCAUCGUGCUUGUUCUCUGAUCUUCGAUGCCGCAACACGCUGCCGCCGCUGCCGUUACACUCGAGUCCACCACUUUAUUGUUUUCUGUCGCGCUCUCUAUUCCUCUUCUUCAUCAGCGACUCUGAUCUCUAUCCUUCUCCCUUCAUCUCUGCCUCUGCGACCUACUCCUUUUAAGUUAUGCUGCACUGGAGUAUGCAUGCACUGGAAUGAUGACUGAGAAGAGUGAUGUUUAUACCUUUGGGAUACUUAUUAUGGAAAUAAUUACUAAAAGAAGUCAGGUUGAUUAUAGUAAACCCCAAGGAGAGGUUAAUUUAAUUGAGUGGUUGAAAACUAUGGUUGGCAAUAGAAAAUCAGAGGAACUCAUCGAUCCAAACCUCCCUGAAAAGCCAUCUUCAAAGGCUUUUAAGCUUUGAUCUGUUGGUUGCUCUUAAAUGUAUUGAUCCAGAUGCCACAAAGAGACCUAAAAUCGGACACAUAAUCCACAUGCUUGAGGCCGACGAGAUCCUAUUCCGUGAUGAACGGAGGACUGGAGGGGAAUCGUUGUGAUCCCAUUGCAAUUAUCAUCAUGAGCAAAAAGACUCUAGCAGAGAUAGAAAAUGAAUAGGUGGAGAGAUCACUGAUCGAAGUGAAGAUGAUAAUAGCAGUAAAAAUCUUGUCCAUCCCACUAGGUUGAGAUGAUAGUUGUUAAAUGGUAAAUGUAGCUAUGUAUUUAUUAUUUUUGGUUUUAGUAGUUUGUCUAUAUUAAUUUCUACCUCAAUCUGGAUAACAUGCACUGAGUGUAUUUUUGCUGCAUAAUUUCCCCUCCCACCACAAUUUGGGAUUCAUUGUAUACUCACUUCAUUAUUACUAAAAAUAAAAAUUUUGAUGUCAUCCUUCUGCUUUAUAAGACAAAAUUAGCUCAAGUGUUUUAUAAAAAGUAAUAAUAUUUUCAAGUUGCUCAAACUGUAGGAUCAAGAUGUUAAUAACCUACUGCUUAGACUAUUCAGUGAAGCACUAAAUAUAAAUUCAGGGUAUGGUUGGACUUCGCUAUUGCUCAUUCUUUGGAUUACAUUAUAUCGCAUCUACUAUACCUAGCAAUGCUUGUUUUAAAUUUUCAGGUGGGCAAACAUCCAAAGUGCUCUUUUAUUUUUGCACCAAUUUGUUUGUUUACAAUUGAAUUUGAUUAUUUACAUUACUUUCUGCAAGCCUAUAAUAACAUCGCAAUUGUUAUUGACAAAUGAAGUAUUUCUUUAUGGAUAGAACAUUCGGAAGUCAACUUAAAUUUCUUUCUCACCAGAAGCUUCUCUUUCGAAUUUGGUUGUUAUUUUCCCUCAGAUGACAACUUGUCAAGAGAGGUGGCAACAAUGAUCAUUCAGAUUUUCAGAUUAUCUUGACUCUGUCCAUUUUUUUCUGCUUCAAGUUAAAAACUUAAAAACAAACCUAUAUUUUGUUUUAAUUUGUUUGUCUUUUUU